GAACUCGUAAUCCGAGAGGUGGAAUGAUGGGGUAACGCCCUGAAACGCCCCCUUAAUACUCCGACUGGCAUCCCGAACAAUAGUAGGAAUGUCAGGAGCUCGGUGAAGACGGCAGAGAGUGACCGUAGGCAUUGUCGGAUAACUACCGACCGCCCGAAAGUGCCCCAGAGGUGGGGUGUGUCACCUAUAUGCCGGAGGUCUAUAAA
rnacentral:ncRNA from 1 species